rnacentral:rRNA from 1 species
GGGGAAUAUUGCACAAUGGGCGAAAGCCUGAUGCAGCGACGCCGCGUGAGGGAUGACGGCCUUCGGGUUGUAAACCUCUUUCAGCAGGGACGAAGCGAGAGUGACGGUACCUGCAGAAGAAGCACCGGCCAACUACGUGCCAGCAGCCGCGGUAAUACGUAGGGUGCGAGCGUUGUCCGGAAUUACUGGGCGUAAAGAGCUCGUAGGCGGUUUGUCGCGUCGUCCGUGAAAACUUGGGGCUCAACCCCAAGCUUGCGGGCGAUACGGGCAGACUUGAGUACUGCAGGGGAGACUGGAAUUCCUGGUGUAGCGGUGAAAUGCGCAGAUAUCAGGAGGAACACCGGUGGCGAAGGCGGGUCUCUGGGCAGUAACUGACGCUGAGGAGCGAAAGCGUGGGUAGCGAACA